GAAAGAAUAUCCGAGGGGAAACGAGGGCAGGGAAGGAAUAUUAAAGUGGGAAAAACAUUUUUUGAAUGAAAUAUCAUCUUUCUCAGAAAAUACUACAUGUGCAAACAUUGUCUACGCAGCAGAACGGAGCCUGGACGACUCAGUGGCAGAAAGUACUGCGUCUGAUAUUAAGUUCUUUGCACUGACAUUUACAAUUAUGGGGAUUUUCAGUGGAAUUAUAAACGGUAGAUGCGCAGAUGCUCGCUUUGGACAUCAACUUUUAGGAUUUGGUGCCCUGUUAUCUAUUUAUUUAGGGGUCACAGCCGCACUUGGCUUCUUAAUGCUAAUCGGCGUUCCCUUUGUUAGUAUGGUUGGUAUUCUGCCAUUCUUGGUCGUCAGUAUUGGUAUAGAUGAUGUGUUUAUUAUUCUUCAUGAGCUGAACGAAAUGGUUCAUCAAAAUAUUCCUGCUAAGUAUAUGCUUAGUGGCACAAUGGCUAAAAGUGGACCAACUAUAACCAUGACGACCCUCACUGAUCUCGUAGCAUUCGCCGUUAGCUGUCGUUCUAUCUUUCCCGCGAUUCGUUUGUUUUGCACAUACGCAGCGCUGGCGAUUGGGUCUGCAUUUUUUAUGCUGGUGACGUUUUUCGUUGGUUGCAUGUGGUUUGAUAUCAAACGAAUCAACGCUCAACGUCGAGAUUUCGUGCCUUGUUUGAUGAGUCCUCCUCCCACCGACUGCUGUUCUGGUAUUCGGGCUAAUGGAUUUGACAACGUAAUG